rnacentral:lncRNA from 1 species
UUCAUCUUGGCCAAGCAUAUCGAGCAGGUUUUCUGAAAUUGAAAAUCAGGAAGCCAGAGAGAACAAGAGUCAAACGAAAAUUAAAAAAAAAAUAAUUCUCACAACAUUCAUUACAGUAAUCACAACAUGAGCAUACUAUAGCAAAUCAACAACCUUGUAAAUAAAUAUAGAAAAUGAAUAUAUAAUAGAUUUACAGAAAUCAGAAAAAAAAGUAAACAGGGACAAAAAUUAAGAGAUAAAGAUUAAAGAGAGGGGGGCUCCAGAGCUGCUGUUUGGUUAUUAAUCCAUGAGCUUAGUCGACUAUGCUUAAAGAAAACAAUAAAAAGAUUGAGAGAUGAAAGAUAAUGAUGGUUCGUUCACCAGAUCUAUUUUGGGAGAGGAGGGGAGGUUGUGCUUAAAGCCUUAAAGAAAGGUUGAGAGAGAUGAGAGAUGAAGAUGUUGAGGGGGCGAGGCUGUGAGAAAGGUUGAGAGAUGAGAGAUGAAGAUGGGGGGUGGAGGGGGGGUUGUGCUGAGAGAUGAAGAUCGAGAAACAUGGGCGAGAAAGGUUGAGAGUGAAGAUGGGGGUGGGGCUGCGUUGAGAGAUGAAGAUUGUGAAACAUGGGUGGCGGCUAGG